rnacentral:rRNA from 1 species
UGGGGAAUAUUGGACAAUGGGCGCAAGCCUGAUCCAGCCAUGCCGCGUGAGUGAUGAAGGCCCUAGGGUUGUAAAGCCCUCUCACCGGUGAAGAUAAUGACGGUAACCGGAGAAGAAGCCCCGGCUAACUUCGUGCCAGCAGCCGCGGUAAUACGAAGGGGGCUAGCGUUGUUCGGAUUUACUGGGCGUAAAGCGCACGUAGGCGGACUUUUAAGUCAGGGGUGAAAUCCCGGGGCUCAACCCCGGAACUGCCUUUGAUACUGGAAGUCUUGAGUAUGGUAGAGGUAAGUGGAAUUCCGAGUGUAGAGGUGAAAUUCGAAGAUAUUCAGAGGAACACCAGUGGCGAAGGCGGCUCACUGGACCAUUACUGACGCUAAGGUGCGAAAGCGUGGGGAGCAAACAGG